rnacentral:rRNA from 1 species
UACGUAGGGGGCGAGCGUUGUCCGGAGUUACUGGGCGUAAAGCGCACGCAGGCGGUCUGUUAAGUUUGGAGUGACAGUUGGUGGCUCAACCACCAAAGUGCUUUGAAAACUGAUAGACUUGAGGGCUUCAGAGGGACACGGAAUUCCGGGUGGAGUGGUGAGAUGCGUAGAGAUCCGGAGGAACACCAAAGGCGAAGGCAGUGUCCUGGGGAGUACCUGACGCUCAGGUGCGAAAGCCAGGGGAGCGAACGGG